rnacentral:rRNA from 1 species
UACAGAGGUCCCAAGCGUUGUUCGGAAUUACUGGGCGUAAAGGGUUCGUAGGUGGCCACUUAAGUCAGACGUGAAAUCCCUCAGCUUAACUGGGGAACUGCGUCUGAUACUGCGUGGCUUGAGUGCAGGAGAGGAAUGCGGAAUUCCAGGUGUAGCGGUGAAAUGCGUAGAUAUCUGGAGGAACACCGGUGGCGAAGGCGGCAUUCUGGACUGUAACUGACACUGAUGAACGAAAGCCAGGGGAGCAAACGGG